rfam:Eggerthella lenta DSM 2243, complete genome.
GGGCGAUUAGCUCAGGGGGAGAGCACUACCUUGACACGGUAGGGGUCACAAGUUCAAAUCUUGUAUCGCCCA